AGAGUUUGAUCCUGGCUCAGGACAAACGCUGGCGGCGUGCCUAACACAUGCAAGUCAAGGAGAACGUCCCCUUCGGGGGACUAUUAAACUGGCGGACGGGUGAGUAACGCGUAGGUAACCUGCCCCAGAGACCGGGACAACCCAUCGAAAGACGGGCUAAUACCGGAUGAUGCAGCGGAUCCUCAGGGAUAUGUUGUUAAAGGGGGCCUUCGGGUCCUGCUUUGGGAUGGGCCUGCGUCCGAUUAGUUAGUUGGUAAGAUAAAAGCUUACCAAGGCGAUGAUCGGUAGCUGGUCUGAGAGGAUGAUCAGCCACACUGGGAUUGAGAUACGGCCCAGACUCCUACGGGAGGCAGCAGUGGGGAAUCUUGCGCAAUGGGCGAAAGCCUGACGCAGCAACGCCGCGUGACUGAUGAAGCUUCUAGGAGUGUAAAGGUCUGUCGUGAGGGAAGAACAGUAUCCAUGUAAAUAGCAUGGGCAUUUGACGGUACCUCACAAGAAAGCACCGGCUAACUUCGUGCCAGCAGCCGCGGUAAUACGAGGGGUGCUAGCGUUGUCCGGAAUCACUGGGCGUAAAGGGCGCGUAGGCGUCUUAGCAAGCCUUGAUUGAAAUCCCCCGGCUCAACCGGGGAACUGGUCAGGGAACUGCUAGGAUAGAGUUUGGUAGGGGAGAGCGGAAUUCCUGGUGUAGCGGUGAUAUGCGUAGAUAUCAGGAGGAACACCUAAAGCGAAGGCAGCUCUCUGGGCCAAUACUGACGCUGAGGCGCGAAAGCGUGGGGAGCAAACAGGAUUAGAUACCCUGGUAGUCCACGCCGUAAACGAUGAGCACUUGGUGUCGGGGGAUUCGACCCCCUCGGUGCCGUAGCUAACGUGUUAAGUGCUCCGCCUGGGGACUACGACCGCAAGGUUGAAACUCAAAGGAAUUGACGGGGGCCCGCACAAGCGGUGGAACAUGUGGUUUAAUUCGAUGCAACGCGAAGAACCUUACCUGGGCUUGACAUGUCAGUGAAAGCUCCGUGAAAGCGGAGCCCUCUGCGAGCUUGCUCAAAGACACUGUCACAGGUGGUGCAUGGCUGUCGUCAGCUCGUGUCGUGAGAUGUUGGGUUAAGUCUCGCAAUGAGCGCAACCCUUGUCCUUAGUUGCCAGCACGUUAUGGUGGGGACUCUAAGGAGACUGCCUGG
rnacentral:rRNA from 1 species